rnacentral:rRNA from 1 species
AUGAGAACAUUGUGCUAGAAUUGUCGCGGGAUUGGCGACCCCGCGAUAGUUGAGCUUCGGGAGCUCAUUCAGGAGAGUUUGUCGUCGGUAGUUUGCAUUGUGGAGACACAAUUGUUAAAGCAGAGAGUGGAGGGCCUAGCGAUGAUGUUAGGUUUUGAGGGAGGUUUUGCAGUGGCUAGUUAUGGACGGAGCGGAGGCUUGGGACUUUUCUGGAGGCAUGGAUUGAAUGUUCGAGUGAAGAAUUUUUCUCGUUACCAUAUUGAUGUGUGGGUUGCAGAACCGGGUAAGGAGGAUUGGAGGUUGACUUGCUUUUAUGGUGAGGCAAACCGUAGUUUGAGGCAAAACACAUGGGAUACUAUGAUCCGUCUGAGAGGUGAGUCCAUGUAG